CGGCCGCGACGGCCGUUGAGUGAGGCUCGGAGGAGGGGGGGGCCCUGGCCGGGGAGGGCGCUGCCCUCACUUGCGUCCUUCAGGCCCGGGUUCGGGGGCCGCCGGGACCGUCGCGACUCUUCCCCGCGGCCCUGUCGGCAGGGGAUCGCCCUCCUCCCGCGGUGACUUAGCAAGAAAAGAAACGCAGUACCUGAAUCUAUUUAGCCUAUCCCAGGUGAGAAAAUGCCUUUGAGGUGGUGGGCAAAUUUUGACUCUAAACAUCACAGCAGAGAGGAGGAGGAGG
rnacentral:lncRNA from 1 species